rnacentral:lncRNA from 1 species
GGCAGACCGCAAGGAUGGCGGCAGGGCAGGGCGGGUGGCUCCGGCCCGCGCUGGGGCUUCGCUUACUGCUGGCGACUGCGUUUCAAGCGGUGUCUGCUCUUGGGGCAGAGUUCUCGUCAGAGGCAUGCCGGGAGUUGGGCUUCUCCAGCAACUUGCUCUGCAGCUCCUGCGAUCUCCUUGGACAGUUUAACCUGCUUCCACUGGAUCCUGUCUGCAGAGGCUGCUGUCAGGAAGAAGCGCAGUUUGAAACCAAAAAGCUGUAUGCAGGAGCCAUCCUUGAAGUCUGUGGAUGAAAAUUGGGGAGGUUCCCUCAAGUCCAAGCUUUUGUCAGAAGCGAUAAACCCAAACUGUUCAGAGGUCUACAGAUCAAGGUAAGGGACCAGGCUGGGGGUCCUCUAAUUUAAAGACUACUUUGUGACUUAGGAAGAGCUGAGUCAAGUGUUGCCCUGACAUUGACCCUGUGCUCCCAGGAUAAGUCACUCGCCAUAACCUACUGGGUUAUAUGGAGUGGUGUGCACUGGCUGAAAUUGAAAGCACUAUUUUGUUCUGCUUUAAAUAUGCUAUUUUGUGGUGCAUUUUCAUUUUUCAUAUGAGCUUGCUUUAGUCAAAAUAUGGAAGUGGUUAGGUGCCUUUAAUCUUACAACUUCUUGCUGUCAGCAGUAAAUUGAUCAUUAAUCUUUACCCACAGUUUUUGUCAUACAUAUAUAUUUAAAUUUAUAUAUUUAUAUUUAUAUUU